rnacentral:ncRNA from 1 species
CAAAGGUUUGGUCCUGACUUUACUGUCGGCUUUAGCUAGACUUACACAUGCAAGUAUCCGCCCGCCCGUGAGGAUGCCCAUAGUUCCCUGUUUGGGAAUAAGGAGCUGGUAUCAGGCGCACACCUAUUUGUAUUUGAGCCCACUACACCUUGCUCAGCCACACCCCCAAGGGUAUUCAGCAGUGAUAAGCAUUAAGCCAUAAGUGAAAACUUGACUCAGUUAAAGCUAAGAGGGCCGGUAGAACUCGUGCCAGCCACCGCGGUUAUACGAGAGGCCCAAGUUGACAGACAGCGGCGUAAAGAGUGGUUAAGGAAAACAGAAAACUAAAGCCGAACGCUUACAGGACUGUUAUAAGUGUCUGAAAGUAAGAAGCCCAUUCACGAAAGUGGCUUUACAUUACCUGAACCCACGAGAGCUAAGAAACAAACUGGGAUUAGAUACCCCACUAUGCUUAGUCCUAAACAUUGAUCUCAUACCACACCUACAUAUCCGCCCGGGAAUUACGAGCACUAGUUUGAAACCCAAAGGACUUGGCGGUGCUUAACUUCCACCUAGAGGAGCCUGUUCUAUAACCGAUAACCCCCGUUUAACCUCACCCCCUCUUGUUUCCCACCGUCUAUAUACCGCCGUCGUCAGCUUACCCUGUGAAGGCCAAAUAGUGAGCAAGAUUAGCAUAUCCCAGAACGUCAGGUCGAGGUGUAGUGCAUGAGAGGGGAAGAAAUGGGCUACAUUCGCUAAUUAUAGCGAAAACGAAUGACACGUUGAAAACAUAGUAUUGAAGGAGGAUUUAGCAGUAAGCAGGGAACAGAGUGCCCUACUGAAUUCGGCUAUUAAGCACGCACAUACCGCCCGUCACCCUCCCCGAGCCAUGGAUCCAAAUAAUUCAAGCCCCUACAGUAGCGAAGGUGAGGAAAGUCGUAACAUGGUAAGUGUACCGGAAGGUGUACUUGGUCUAC